AGAGUUUGAUCCUGGCUCAGGAUGAACGCUAGCGGCAGGCUUAAUACAUGCAAGUCGAGGGGCAGCACGGUAGCAAUACUGGUGGCGACCGGCAAACGGGUGCGGAACACGUACAGAACCUUCCUUUAAGUGGGGGAUAGCCCAGAGAAAUUUGGAUUAAUACCCCGUAACAUCAUUGAGUGGCAUCAUUUAAUGAUUAUAGAUUUAUCGCUUAGAGAUGGCUGUGCGGCUGAUUAGGUAGUUGGUGUGGGUAACGGCCCACCAAGCCUUCGAUCAGUAACUGGUGUGAGAGCACGACCAGUCACACGGGCACUGAGACACGGGCCCGACUCCUACGGGAGGCAGCAGUAAGGAAUAUUGGUCAAUGGACGCAAGUCUGAACCAGCCAUGCCGCGUGAAGGAUGAAGGUCCUCUGGAUUGUAAACUUCUUUUAUCUGGGAAGAAACCACUUUUUUCUAAGGGUGUUGACGGUACCAGAGGAAUAAGCACCGGCUAACUCCGUGCCAGCGGCCGCGGUAAUACGGAGGGUGCAAGCGUUAUCCGGAUUCACUGGGUUUAAAGGGUGCGUAGGUGGGUCUGUAAGUCAGUGGUGAAAUCUCCGGGCUUAACCUGGAAACUGCCAUUGAUACUAUAGGUCUUGAAUUUUCUGGAGGUAAGCGGAAUAUGUCAUGUAGCGGUGAAAUGCUUAGAUAUGACAUAGAACACCAAUUGCGAAGGCAGCUUACUACGGGAACAUUGACACUGAGGCACGAAAGCGUGGGGAUCAAACAGGAUUAGAUACCCUGGUAGUCC
rnacentral:rRNA from 1 species